rnacentral:rRNA from 1 species
AUACGUAGGUGGCAAGCGUUGUCCGGAAUUAUUGGGCGUAAAGCGCAUGUAGGCGGUAAUUUAAGUCUGUCGUGAAACUGCGGGGCUCAGCCCCGUAUGGCGAUGGAAACUGGGUUACUUGAGUGCAGGAGAGGAAAGGGGAACUCCCAGUGUAGCGGUGAAAUGCGUAGAAAUUGGGGAGAACACCGGUGGCGAAGGCGCCUUUCUGGACUGUGUCUGACGCUGAGAUGCGAAAGCCAGGGGAGCGAACGGGAUUAGAUACCCCGGUAGUCCUGGCCGUAAACGAUGGGUACUAGGUGGGGGAGGUAUCGACCCCUUCCGUGCCGGAGUUAACGCAAUAAGUACCCCGCCUGGGGAGUACGGCCGCAAGGCUUAAACUCAAAUGAAUUGACGGGG